ACGGAAGGCAGCAGUGUGGAAUAUUGCACAAUGGGCGCAAGCCUGAUGCAGCGAUGCCGCGUGAGGGAAGAAGGUUUUCGGAUUGUAAACCUCUGUCAUCGGGGACGAUAAUGACUGUACCCGAGAAGGAAGCUCCGGCUAACUACGUGCCAGCAGCCGCGGUAAUACGUAGGGAGCGAGCGUUAUCCGGAAUUACUGGGUGUAAAGGGAGUGUAGGCGGGCCUGUAAGUCAGAUGUGAAAUAUGCCGGCUCAACUGGCAGACUGCAUUUGAAACUGCGGUUCUUGAGUGAAGUAGAGGUAAGCGGAAUUCCUAGUGUAGCGGUGAAAUGCGUAGAUAUUAGGAGGAACAUCAGUGGCGAAGGCGGCUUAUUGGGCUUUAACUGACGCUGAGGCUCGAAAGCGUGGGGAGCAAACAGGAUUAGAUACCCUGGU
rnacentral:rRNA from 1 species